GGGCACUUGGCACAGUUGGUAGCGCGCACGCUUCGCAAGAAAUGCUAAUGAUGAAUUUCAACGUUGCGUGAGGUCGGGAGUUCGACUCUCCCAGUGUCCA